AGGUAUGAACUUACGCUUUCCAAACUCAAUCAGUUUUACAGGCAAAGAAGUAAAAAGUCUUGGGCUGUAAAAGGUGAUCGCAACACAAAAUUCUUCCAACAGGCUGUGCUCAAACGUAGAAAAAGAAAUACUAUUUGUUCUAUCAAAGAUGAGCAUGACAAUAUUCAUUUCAAACCGGAUGCCAGGAUGCAAACCUUUGUUAAUUAUUUAAGACACAUAUUUUCCUCUCCUAACACUUAUGCUCGCAGGCCUUUUUCUUCCCCUAUUUGGACUAAUGACAACAAUGAUCCUACUUAUUCUAUUCCGGACAAGACUGAACUUUUGCGGAUUCUUAAAGACAUGAAGCUUAAUGCUUCUCCUGGUCCUGAUGGGUUCAAUGUAGAAUUUUAUUUAGCUACU
rnacentral:rRNA from 1 species